GGAAGGGGCCCGCCGGGACGCCCCGAGGCCAGCGUCCUCCCCGGGGCCCGCGCACUCACCACCUGGUAGCGACCAGUCCCCAGCUGGUGGUGAUCCAUCCUGCCCGCCUCGGGGUCCGGCUUCCGAGCGGGCGUGUCCCCUCGGCGCUCAGCUCCCUCGGCCUCCCGGGUCGACGUCGUCGCCGCCGCCGCCGCAGAGCCUCUUCCGCCGCCUCGGGUUCUGCCGCCGAGGUCGCCUGGCGGGGCCGCUUCACUUCCUGUCGCUCCCUCGGCUCCAGCGGAGAGCUCCGCGUCGCUCGCCGAUCGGCGCCGGAGCUCCGGGGAGCCGCGCGCGCUACUGAGCAUGCUCGGCGCGGACGCGCAUGCUCUCUGGCUCCGCCGGCGUCCCAUCCGCCGCCCGGCUCCGGAGGUGUCCCUAGGUGGGAGGAGAUGGAAGAGUCAGCUUUAAAGUCACAGUAAAAUUUCGAGGAAGGAAAAAAAAAAGACAGUCUUGCUUCUGAGCACGCGUAGCCUUCCUCAGUAGAACAGCUCAUUUGUGACAAAUGUUAAACCCAUUUGACAGCGUACCAUUGUCAAUCACUUAGAAUCCAUAAUAGAUUGCAUUGGAGUUCAUUUUGAACAUUGUACGUUGUAGGAGUUCUGACAAAUAUACCCUAACUAUUAUAUAUCAUACUGAACAGUUUCAUUACUCUGAAAAUCCUGAAUAGGGCUUUACCCUCCUCUUUCUUUUGCCCCCUUGUUUCUAAGAGAUUUACAAAUUCUUCAAACAUAUUCUGAUGACAUACAGAGAAAGAGGCCUUUAGAAAUAGGAAAUGGGAAGGACAGAAGAAAAUAAUGAAGUGAGGUAGGAUUUUUGUGUGUGUGCUAAUAAUACUCAGAUAUUCCUAAGAUAAUGGUAAAGAAUCAGUUUUUGUGGCGCAUCAUAAUACCCUGUGACACCUCUCUCUCCUCUCCUCUCCUCUCCUCCCUCCUUCUUUCUCCUUCUUUCUUCUUCCUUCUUCUUUUUCUUUCUUCUUCCUUCUUUUUCUUUCUCUUUUUCUCCUUUUUCUUCUCCUUUUUCUUUCUUUUCUUUUUCUUUUCUUCUUUUCCUUUUCUUCUUCUUCUCCUUUUCUUCUUCAUCUUCGUCUUUGUCUUCUUCUUCCUCCUCCUCCUCCUCCUCCUCCUUCUUCUUCUUCUUUUCUCUCUCUCUCUCUCUCUCUCUCUCUCUCUCUCUCUCUCUCUCUCUCUCUCUCGGCACAGAGCAUGUUUCUCUAACAAUUAGAAGACUAUGGCAGACCAGCAAAAGUGAAUCUGUGUGUCCUUAUGAAACGUGAUCUGGUGUUAAGUCACUGUCUCACCACUACAGUGUCGCACGUCAGCAAUAAUGUCACCAAAUGAAGCUGCCUUAUUUGCAAUCCUGAGAAUAAAGGACAUCUAACAUCCCAAAGGUAGGGACAAGGCUGGCCGGCUCACAGAGCCAAAGAAACAAAAGGAUGUUCCUUUGACGUCUCACUUCAGGUCUCUUCGGAACCCCCCCAUCUCAUCCCUACUGCUCCUGCCUCUGAGUCUGGAGGCAUAGUGUAGAGGUUAAGAGCACUGACUGCUCUUCCAGAGAUCCUGAGUUCAAUUCCCAGCAACCAUAUGGUGGCUCACAACGUCUUCAUUUAAAAAACACAAAACAAAACAAAACAAAACAAAACAAAACAAACAAACCUGAGGUUCUAGGUGCCAGGGAGAUAGUUCAGUCCGUAAGGUUUGAUCCCCAGAGUCCAAACUUAAAAGGCAGACGUGAUACCAUAUGCUUGUAGUUGCAGCCGAGUCGAGACAGACAUGGGUGGAUUCCUGGAGCUCAGUGACCAGUCAGCCAGGUCUGCUCAGGGGCUCCAGGUCAGGGAGGGACCCUGCCUAAAGCAACCCAACAAAGUAGACAGUCUCCGAGGAAUAACACCCAUGGUGCUCUCUGCCUCAUGCCACAUGUUCACAUGUCAAACAUGCACAUGCACACACACACACACACACACACACACACACACACACACACACUGAAGCUGAGAGCAGAAAGCUAGACAUUUAGGCUCUACCUGCAGUCAACUACCACGUCCCACCCAGCUUCCCUUAACUGUUGAAACUUUAAAAAACAAAAAAACAAAAAAAAACUCCUUUUCCCACUGUAAGGUAGAACUCCAGCAGUCAUGAUCUCAGUGUGUCAAAUUCUUCUAGAAGAAACAAGACCACUAAAUGCAUUGCCAAAAAAAUAAAAAAGGAAGUCUAAGUUGGCAUGAAUUCUCUUCAGGUUUUCGCUUUGGGAAAUAUAAGACAAAUGCAAUAAAAUAUUUUCCCCACAAAUACAUUAGGUAGCAUCAAUUGCACAUAUUCAGGUUUGAACACAAACAAUCCUUUUCAUUUGCAUAGAGUUGCGGAUGUAAGAAAACCUAAAUGCAGCAAUAAAGUAAAUAGAUCGUCUCUCUCUUGACUAAGUCUCGAACGAGAAGGACGCCAAAGCACGUGAAGCUGAAACACGCAACCUGCACGACUCUGCAGUGGUAAGUAAUUGAAAAUUAAAUAACCUCAAUUAUAGUAUGUUUGUUUCUCUUUUCAUUUUAUUGUUAGAGUUCUAAACUGUUAU
rnacentral:lncRNA from 1 species